rnacentral:rRNA from 1 species
AGCGUCUUUUCGCCGAGCCGCCUCGCACUUUGUACCAAGGUUGACCUCGGAUCAGGUAGGACUACCCGCUGAACUUAAGCAUAUCAAUAAGCGGAGGA